CAGCCGCCACGGGAAUACGGAGGAUCCGAGCGUUAUCCGGAUUUAUUGGGUUUAAAGGGUGCGUAGGCGGCCUUGCAAGUCAGGGGUGAAAGACGGUAGCUUAACUAUCGCAGUGCCCUUGAUACUGCAGGGCUUGAAUGUACUUGAGGUAGGCGGAAUGUGACAAGUAGCGGUGAAAUGCAUAGAUAUGUCACAGAACACCAAUUGCGAAGGCAGCUUACUAAAGUAUGAUUGACGCUGAGGCACGAAAGCGUGGGGAUCAAACAGGAUUAGAUACCCCUGUAGUCCCUGUCUCUUAUAC
rnacentral:rRNA from 1 species